ACACAAUAAUUGUUUGUUUCUCUAAUUGUAAUAAUCGACUACUACUUAUUUAUACUAUUAUACCUAGUACCCACCCACACAAACACACCACAUAUAGAGGAAUUGGCCAUAAAACAAGUCAACAACAACCUAAAAGGAAAAGAUGGAUCUAGAAAUUGAAGAAAAACCGCUUAAACUGUACUUCAUUCCAUAUCUAGCACCUGGUCAUAUGAUCCCUCUAUGCGACAUAGCAAUUCAAUUCGCUGCACGCCGUCAUCACGUAACCAUCAUCACCACUCCCUUCAACGCCCAAAUCCUUACCAAAUCCCUCUCUUUCAACCAAAACCUUCGUCUUCACACCGUUUCUUUUCCCUCUCAAGAAGUCGGCCUCCCCGAUGGCGUCGAAAAUCUCUCCGCCGCCACAAACCUCGACAACCUAACCAAGAUCUACCAUGCAACCACUCUACUCCGACCACCCAUCCAACACUUCGUCGAACAGCACCCACCUGAUUGCAUCGUAGCAGAUUUCUUGUUCCCGUGGGUAGAUGAACUUGCAAACAAGCUUCGUAUCACAAGACUCGCCUUCAACGGUUUCUCUCUCUUUGCUAUCUGCGCCAUUGAAUCUGUUAAAGCAAACUCACACUAUGACUCUGCUUCUUUUCUCAUUCACGAUCUACCUCAUCCAAUUUCCAUGAACGCAGCACCGCCAAAGAAAAUGCACGAGUUAUUGGUAACGUUGUUUGAAACAGUUUUCAAAAGUAACGGAAUCGUCGUCAACAAUUUCGUUGAACUCGACGGUGAAGAGUACAUUAAGCACUACGAGAAAACCACUGGUCACAAAGCGUGGCAUCUCGGUCCAGCUUCUCUUAUUCGUAAAACGGAUCAAGAGAAAGCAGAGAGGGGAGAAGAGAGUGUGGUGAGCGUGCAUGAGUGUCUGAGUUGGCUCAAUUCGAAACGAGUUAACUCAGUGAUAUACAUAGGUUUCGGAAGUCUGUGCCAUUUUCCUGAUAAACAGUUAUAUGAGAUUGCGUGCGGGAUUGAAGCAUCGGGUUACGAAUUCGUGUGGGUAGUUCCUGAGAAGAAAGGGAAAGAAUACGAAAGCGAAGAAGAGAAAGAAAAGUGGUUGCCGAAGGGAUUCGAAGAGAGAAACAGUGAGAAAGGUUUGAUAGUUAGGGGAUGGGCCCCACAGGUAUUGAUUUUGAGCCAUCCUGCUGUGGGUGCGUUUAUGACGCAUUGUGGGUGGAAUUCUAUUGUGGAGGCGGUUAGUGCGGGGAUUCCGAUGAUUACGUGGCCGGUGCAUGGUGAACAAUUUUACAAUGAGAAGUUGAUAACGCAGGUGCGGGGGAUUGGGGUGGAGGUGGGUGCAGGGGAGUGGAGCAAUAGUGGUUAUGGGGAGAGAGAGAAGUUGGUCAGUGGGGAGAGUAUAGAGAAGGCUCUGAGGAGAUUAAUGGACGGUGGUGAUGAUGCGCAGGAAAUCAGACGGCGUGCGCGAGAGUUUGGUGAUAAGGCAAAAGAGGCGGCUCAGGAAGGUGGUUCAUCUUACAAAAAUUUAACGGUCUUGAUUGAUGAUCUAAAACGAUUGAGGGAUUGCAACUUGCAAGCUUCAAAAUGCUAAUACGGGCAAAAAGCCGAGGCCAUACAAACAAAAAACAGGAAAAUAAACUAGGGGGCAACAGCCCCAGGAAAAUCAGCACAUGGAAGCUCUACUAAUAAUGGUGAUGCCAAAGUCUAGCGACACAUAGUUAAACUUAACCACCCCAGUCCUUAUGCAGCCAAGCUUAAGGAGUGAAAGCAAAGACUCUGUAAAGACCACAUCCACCUCCACCACAUAAGGAGCUAUGUGAAAUCAAGUGUUCACCCCAUAGUUCUUCAUAUACCAUAACAGACCCAAUUUUAACCUCUUAUCUAAAAUGUCUCUCUUGUUUGCAUA